UACGGAGGGUGCAGGCGUUAUCCGGAUUCACUGGGUUUAAAGGGUGCGUAGGUGGGUCUGUAAGUCAGUGGUGAAAUCCCCGAGCUUAACUUGGGAACUGCCGUUGAUACUAUAGAUCUUGAAUAUCGUGGAGGUAAGCGGAAUAUGUCAUGUAGCGGUGAAAUGCUUAGAUAUGACAUAGAACACCAAUUGCGAAGGCAGCUUACUACACGAUCAUUGACACUGAGGCACGAAAGCGUGGGGAGCAAACAGG
rnacentral:rRNA from 1 species